GCCAGCAACCAUAUCACCCUGCGGCUCACAGCUGGCAGUCCACUGAAAUUCAGCAGGUGUGAGCCUGGUCAGUACCUGGAUGGUAAACCUCCUGGGAAAAACUAAGGUUGCUGCUGGAA
rnacentral:rRNA from 1 species